rnacentral:rRNA from 1 species
CCUACGGGAGGCUGCAGUGGGGAAUAUUGCACAAUGGGCGCAAGCCUGAUGCAGCGACGCCGCGUGAGCGAUGAAGGCCUUCGGGUCGUAAAGCUCUGUCCUAAGGGAAGAAUAAUGACGGUACCUUAGGAGGAAGCCCCGGCUAACUACGUGCCAGCAGCCGCGGUAAUACGUAGGGGGCGAGCGUUAUCCGGAAUCACUGGGCGUAAAGGGUGCGUAGGCGGCCCUGCAAGUCAGGAGUUAAAUCCCUCGGCUCAACCGAGGUCAGCUCUUGAAACUGUAGGGCUUGAGUGCCGGAGAGGAGCGCGGAAUUCCUAGUGUAGGGGUGAAACGCGUAGGUAUUGGGAGGGACGCCAGUGGCGAAGGCGGCUAUCUGGACUGCAGCGGACGCUGAGGCACGAAAGCGUGGGGUGCGAACAGGAUUAGAUACCCGAGUAGUC